rnacentral:rRNA from 1 species
CGGCUUGAGUAGCGAAAACAUGGGUGAGAAUCCCAUGCCCCGAAACCCUAAGGGUUCCUCCGGCAGGCUCGUCCGCGGAGGGUUAGUCUGGACCUAAGGCGAGGCCGAAAGGCGUAGUCGAUGGAUAACAGGUCAAUAUUCCUGUACCAGAUGUGUUUUGAGAAGGGGGACGGAGAAGGCUAACCAGGCCAGAUGUUGGUUACUGGUUCAAGCGUUCGAGGCUUUGAGAGAUGGAGAAAACAUCUUGAGCUAAGGCGUGAGUACGAGCUGCUACGGCAGCGAAGUUGGUGAUGUCAUGCUUCCAAGAAAAGCCCUAUACUCGUUAAGACACAAAUGCCAGUACCCGAAACCGACACAGGUGGGGUGGUAGAGAAUACCGAGGGGCGCGAGAUAACUCUCUCUAAGGAACUCGGCAAAAUGGCCCCGUAACUUCGGGAGAAGGGGUGCCAGCGAGAGCUGGUCGCAGUGAAGAGGCGCAAGCGACUGUUUACCAAAAACACAGGUCUCCGCUAAGUCGCAAGACGAUGUAUGGGGGCUGACACCUGCCCAGUGCCGGAAGGUUAAGGAAGCUGGUUAGCUUUUAGUGAAGCUGGCGACUGAAGCCCCGGUGAACGGCGGCCGUAACUAUAACGGUCCUAAGGUAGCGAAAUUCCUUGUCGGGUAAGUUCCGACCCGCACGAAAGGUGUAACGAUUUGCGCGCUGUCUCGGAGAGAGGCUCGGCGAAAUAGAAUUGUCUGUGAAGAUGCGGACUACAUACACCCGGACAGAAAGACCCUAUGAAGCUUUACUGUAGUUUGAUAUUGUGCUCGGGCUCUGAAUGCGCAGAAUAGGUGGGAGACGUUGAAAUAGUGCUUGUGGGUACUAUUGAGUCAUCGGUGAGAUACCACUCUUUUAGAGCUAGGGUUCUAACGCUUACCCGUUAUCCGGGAAGCGGACAGUAUCUGAUGGGCAGUUUGACUGGGGCGGUCGCCUCCUAAAAGGUAACGGAGGCGCACAAAGGUUCCCUCAGGCUGGUUGGAAAUCAGUCGUUGAGUGCAAAAGCAGAAGGGAGCUUGACUGUGAGACCUACAAGUCGAACAGGGACGAAAGUCGGUUUUAGUGAUCCGACGGUUCUGCGUGGAAGGGCCGUCGCUCAACGGAUAAAAGUUACUCUAGGGAUAACAGGCUGAUCUCCCCCAAGAGUUCACAUCGACGGGGAGGUUUGGCACCUCGAUGUCGGCUCAUCGCAACCUGGGGCUGAAGUCGGUCCCAAGGGUUGGGCUGUUCGCCCAUUAAAGCGGUACGCGAGCUGGGUUCAGAACGUCGUGAGACAGUUCGGUCCAUAUCCGGUGUAUGCGCAGGAAUAUUGAGAGGAUUUCUCCCUAGUACGAGAGGACCGGGAGGAACGCACCUCUGGUGUGCCAGUUAUCGUGCCAACGGUAAACGCUGGGUAGCCAUGUGCGGAGUGGAUAACCGCUGAAAGCAUCUAAGUGGGAAGCCCACCUCAAGAUGAGUAUUGCCAUGGCUUAAGCCAGUAAGGUCACGGGAAGAACACCCGUUGAUAGGCUCUACGUGGAAGCUUGGUAACAAGUGCAGCGGAGGAGUACUAAUAGACCGAGGGCUUGACCAA